AACUACUUUAGUAAACCAUGAUGUUGAAAGUCUUCCAUUUGAAAACAAAAUCAUUGAGAAUCUUUUUAGGGAGAAAAUGGAAACCAACAAAAGUAAAUCAGCAGGUGAGAGCACUCAAGAUAUCGGCUAUGAAUGUGAAGUGGGUUCUGAAAAGUUUAAUGAGUUAGACAAGGCUGUUUCCUCUGCUUCUGAAUACUUAAAUUAUCUGAAUGCAGCACA